ensembl:lncRNA
CUAUAAAACCUGCUGUGGCUCCCUGUUGUUGAGAAGGUAGACAUCCAACCACAACAGCUUUGGAUUAAGCCCCACCGUAUUUCAGCGGCUGCACAUAGACUUUCUCUAAUCCUCACAGCGAUCACAUGGAAGGAAAUAAGAUGUUCUCAUUCACAGAUGGAAAAAAUCGGGCUCAAAAACGGGGAGGCGUCACCAACUGGCUAACUGACAAAGAUGGAAUUGGAACCCAGGUCUUCACAACCUCAGAUAUUAAUAAUGACACCAGGAUCAAUGGUAGCUCUUUACCGGGUUCUUCCUGAGGUCCCAGCCCUGUCCUGUAUGCCCUGCUCACCGAGUGAGACUCUGACGGGAGACGUAGUUUCCUGGUUUCCUGGCUCCUGGUGUCUCGGUUCAGCAAAGGCUCCUGUUUCAGUGAACUAUCGCUGUGUAACGAACGCUCCAGAACUUAGUGUCUUAAAGCCACAGUGAUUUACUAUUUCUCGUGAGUCUCCAGUUGACUGGGCUGGCCUUCUGCUCCGCGUCAGUCAGCUGAAACCACGCACACAGCCGCGUUCAGUUGGUGAUGGGCGCAAGGCCUGAGAAGACCCCCGUCACAUGGGCUGCCUGUCGGCUGGCACACGUGAGCUCUCCCGCCUCGGGGCCCCUCUGUCCAUGUGGCACCUCAUCCCCCGCGGCCUCUCUGCACAGCCUCCUUCUCCAGCAGCACAGCCAGGACCUCCUCACAGCUCAGCGACAGGGUUCCAGGGGGGCGAAAGGGACUCUCAAGGGCCAGGCCCGGCACCAGCAUGGCGUCACCUCCUCCACACUCUAUGGCCCAAAGCAGGCCAGCCCCAGUGUGACGGGAGGGGGAGAAACUCCGCCUUCUGGCGGGAAGAGCGGCAUGUGCACUCUUGGAAGGGAAGAAUCAUUGGCGGCCGCAUUUGAACACUGUCUCCUGCCGUCACAAAGCUGAACAGAGGGUGGUCAGGUCCACACACUGCAGAGACAUGGCGGGUCACCUCAGAAGGCUGUCCUAAGGGUGACCCAAAAAGUGCCACCUGGCUCCCCUCUGUCCAUCGCCUGCAAAGGAAGGGUGAGAACUGAUGGGGAAAAGAUGGAGACGAGGACGACUUGGAUAGGGGGGUUCUGGAGUUCCAUGGCACCUCCAGUCUUCUCCUCAUGGGGAAAGCCGUGCGUCUCCCUCACCUUAAGCCAAAAGAAGGGCCUCGAGACAAGUGAUGCCUGAGCCACCUAAAACCUGCGUGAUGCAGGGACUGGGGACCUCACUGACAUAAAAAAGUCUCUAGUGAUGACUAAGGACAUGACCCAGCAAUAAGGUGGCGGCCAGAGUCUCCUACCAUGAGUGCGGGGCGAAGACGUGGGCUUCUCCCGGCCGGAUCCCUAAGGAAGCCAGCAGAGGCGAGGCGGAGGCCAGCAGGUGCAGAAGCACAACACAGAAGAGGAAGCAUCCAGAACACCGGCCAUGACCAGUCUCUCCACGGCAGGGUCCCAACCCUGGGAGGCCCAGGCUGAGAGGUGUCUGGGAAGAUGAGGUUGUUUUGAAUUGGGUGUGAGAUUAAAGUUCUGGUAAUACAGGGAGGCUGCAGCCCCACGGCCAGUCACCGGGCUGAGUCUCUGGGGAGGGACACCAGGACUGCCGGGUUCCAUUUCCCUCCAUGACCAGAAACAGGGCUCCUCUGUACGGGCUG